rnacentral:lncRNA from 1 species
CCAUCAAGAAAAAAUCCCCAAUUCCAAGAACCCAAGAAAACCCAAGAAAGUCAAGAAUCUUGGUGCUGUUCUUGUUCUUCUUCUUCUUCCCAAUCUGGGUCCUGCAAAUUUUGAAUCUUUAGAUGGAAACCUGGAAGAAAAGAAGGAAAGAUUAGUUCUUUUUUUUCAUGGUGGGUAGGUGACAAACCGCAUUUUCUUGAGCUGAAACCCCGAAAUAACAAAACAUGCACGCUCGUCACCGCAAUCCCGGAAAUGGGUACCGGUCUAAUUCCAUGGCUAUGGACCGAAUCGGAAUGGGUCGGAUCUCGCCGGAA